rnacentral:rRNA from 1 species
AAGUAGCGAAGUCCGUGAGCCAUGCGUCAAGAAAAGCCGCUAUUGUUUAUACCGUACCCGUACCGUAAACCGACACAGGUGGAUGAGGAGAGAAUCCUAAGGCCGCGGAAGAAGCAUUGUCAAGGAACUCGGCAAAAUGACCCCGUAACUUCGGGAGAAGGGGUGCCACUGAGAAGUGGCCGCAGAGAAUAGGCUCAAGCAACUGUUUAGCAAAAACACAGGUCUAUGCGAAACCGAAAGGUGAGGUAUAUGGGCUGACGCCUGCCCGGUGCUGGAAGGUUAAGGGGAGAGGUUAGCGCAAGCGAAGCUUUGAAUUUAAGCCCCAGUAAACGGCGGCCGUAACUAUAACGGUCCUAAGGUAGCGAAAUUCCUUGUCGGGUAAGUUCCGACCCGCACGAAAGGCGUAAUGAUUUGAGCGCUGUCUCGACAAUGCAUCCGGUGAAAUUGAAGUACCAGUGAAGAUGCUGGUUACCUGCGCCAGGACGGAAAGACCCCAUGGAGCUUUACUCCAGUUUGGUACUGGGGUCCGGUAUUGCAUGUACAGGAUAGGUGGGAGGCUAGGAAAUGGCAACGCCAGUUGCCAUGGAGCCGCUGUUGGGAUACCACCCUUGCAGUACUGGGCUUCUAACCAGCCGCCGUGAACCGGCGGUGGGACAAUGCCAGACGGGGAGUUUGACUGGGGCGGUCGCCUCCGAAAGGGUAUCGGAGGCGCCCAAAGGUUCCCUCAGAAUGGACGGAAACCAUUCAAAGAGUGCAAAGGCAGAAGGGAGCUUGACUGCGACACCGACGGGUGGAGCAGGUACGAAAGUAGGGCUUAGUGAUCCGGUGGUAUUAAGUGGGAAUGCCAUCGUUCAACGGAUAAAAGCUACCCUGGGAUAACAGGCUUAUCACUCCCAAGAGUUCACGUCGACGGAGUGGUUUGGCACCUCGAUGUCGGCUCAUCGCAUCCUGGGGCUGUAGUAGGUCCCAAGGGUUGGGCUGUUCGCCCAUUAAAGCGGUACGCGAGCUGGGUUCAGAACGUCGUGAGACAGUUCGGUCCCUAUCCGGCGUGGGCGUAGGAUAUCUGAGAGGAGCUGUCCUUAGUACGAGAGGACCGGGAUGGACGGACCGCUGGUGUACCGGUUAGACUGCCAAGUCUACGGCCGGGUAGCCAAGUCCGGAAGGGAUAAACGCUGAAGGCAUCUAAGCGUGAAGCCCCCCUCAAGAUGAGAUGUCCCAUUCGAAAGAAGUAAACCCCCUUGAAGACGACGAGGUAGAUAGGGCAGAGGUGGAAGUGUGGUAACACAUGGAGCUGACUGUUACUAAUAGGGUGAGGGCUUGACCUA